UACGUUAUCAUGAUAUCAUUAACUCAUAUCCCAGAUCGGGUACUACGACACUUGGAUUAUGUUCACGUCAUUUCUUCCCCGAUCUUGAGGCCCGAACAUGCAUAGAGACCUAAACACCUGAAGAAGUAUGAGCUUGAGUUUUCGACAGCAACAACCGAGUCAGCAUGGCAGCGGUUCACUCAAUGUUGGGGUAGUCGACAUGUCUCAGCAUUUAGACGAGUCGGUCGUCUUCAUGAUUGUUCAUCGAACUACAAAUACAUGUAUAGCACAUAUAGUCAUCCACUCAUGAUUGAUGAUGAGAGCUUCAAUAUAUAUCGAACUGACCGGACCCUACAAACACACACUACUGGAUGGGUUGGUGGUUUAGUUCGACGAGAGCUUUGGUAGAAGAUCAACAUAAUGAUCGACGACCUACCACAGCUACUUUAUAUGAGAUGAUGGAUGAUUUUGCUCGAGAAUGGGAUUUGGCACUUUAGUUGAACCAAGCACCUGAUGCUGCUUUGUAGUUUUGAUUUAUCGAUUUUCAUAUCAGUGUUUUCAGUUGAUAUACUUUCUAUAACUUUGAUUUUGUUUGACGUGAUAUACUAUAUUUUUAGAUAUUACUUUGUGAUG